CCUGUGAUGAUAAUGACAGUAGCAGGUAAAGAAACCCCGGCCAACUCCGUGCCAGCAGCCGCGGUAAUACGGAGGGGGUUAGCGUUGUUCGGAAUUACUGGGCGUAAAGCGCGCGUAGGCGGAUUAGAAAGUUGGGGGUGAAAUCCCGGGGCUCAACCUCGGAACUGCCUCCAAAACUGCUAGUCUAGAGUUCGAGAGAGGUGAGUGGAAUUCCGAGUGUAGAGGUGAAAUUCGUAGAUAUUCGGAGGAACACCAGUGGCGAAGGCGGCUCACUGGCUCGAUACUGACGCUGAGGUGCGAAAGUGCGGGGAGCAAACAGGAUUAGAUACCCUGGUAGUCCACACCGUAAACGAUGAAUGCCAGUCGUCGGGUAGUAUACUAUUCGGUGACACACCUAACGGAUUAAGCAUUCCGCCUGGGGAGUACGGUCGCAAGAUUAAAACUCA
rnacentral:rRNA from 1 species